UACACGUGGUUUUCUUUCCAGCACAGGGAAAGACGACCACGGGUUGUGACCUAUUACAAUCAGCUGCAUGAGGUGGAAGAGAAAAUGCCCUGCAAGCACUUUGAUCUCAACGUCACUUUUGAAGGAUCCAGCGCAGGGCUCUAGGACCCAGAGACGUCAGGAUGGUGGUUCUUGAUAUCAGUCUACCAACUGGAUUCACCCCAGAAAACUCUGACCUGGAGAUGCUGUCCAAUUCAGUGCAUCGUUACAUCAGUAACUUCCAGAUUGUAGACAACCUGAGUGACAGAGGCUCCCUGAUCAUUCACCUGUUCAAAGUAACAUCACUGUAUUUAUAAUUAUUAUUCUAUAUCAUAUCAUUUUAUGUUAUUCAUAUGCUUUUCUUUUUUUCCAAGAAGCAGGUUUCUCAAUGCUCAGUAAAUAAGUCUUUAUGACCACAGUCAACAAUCUGAGGCAGUUUUAGGCUAUUACACAAAACCAGCUUAUUGGUACCAAAGCCACGGUUCAGAACUCAGACUUGCUAAAUCAGUGUUAGUGUAGUGCAGUGUAGGGCUGCAGCCAGAGUACUGAGGAUAGUUAGCAAGAGAGAUCAUAUUUCUCCUAUGCUGGUUUCUCUUCAUUGGCUUCCUGUGAAAUGUAGAAUAGAAUUCAAAAUCCUUCUUCUGACAUAUAAAGCUCUUAACAACCACUCUCCAUCAUAUCUUAA